CACGUAGGGUGCGAGCGUUGUCCGGAAUUAUUGGGCGUAAAGAGCUCGUAGGCGGUUUGUCGCGUCUGCUGUGAAAACCCGAGGCUCAACCUCGGGCCUGCAGUGGGUACGGGCAGACUAGAGUGCGGUAGGGGAGAUUGGAAUUCCUGGUGUAGCGGUGGAAUGCGCAGAUAUCAGGAGGAACACCGAUGGCGAAGGCAGAUCUCUGGGCCGUAACUGACGCUGAGGAGCGAAAAGCAUGGGGAGCGAACAGG
rnacentral:rRNA from 1 species